rnacentral:rRNA from 1 species
CUGCUGCCUCCCGUAGGAGUUUGGACCGUGUCUCAGUUCCAAUGUGGGGGACCUUCCUCUCACGAACCCCUACGCAUCGUCGGCUUGGUGGGCCGUUGCCCCACCAACUACCUAAUGCGCCGCAUGCCCAUCCAUGACCGGGGUCGCCCCCUUUGACCGGCAGGGGAUGUCCCCUCCCGGCAUUAUGUUGUAUUAGGCGGGAUUUCUCCCGGUUAUCCAUCCUGUCACGGCCAGGUUGCAUACGUGUUACUCACCCGUGCGCCGGUCGCCGG